CUUUUCACAUCGAUCUUUGGUCAUCGUCAGACAAAUCAAACCACGACCAUGAGUUGCCAUAAAGUUGAUCGCUUCUGGAGUCACGAGCUCCGCAGCCAUGAUCA
rnacentral:antisense_RNA from 1 species